rnacentral:rRNA from 1 species
ACGGGUGAGUAACACGUGGGUAACCUGCCUUAUAGUGGGGGAUAGCCUUUCGAAAGGAAGAUUAAUACCGCAUAAGAUUGUAGUUUCGCAUGAAGCAGCAAUUAAAGGAGCAAUCCGCUAUAAGAUGGACCCGCGUCGCAUUAGCUAGUUGGUGAGGUAAUGGCUCACCAAGGCGACGAUGCGUAGCCGACCUGAGAGGGUGAUCGGCCACAUUGGGACUGAGACACGGCCCAGACUCC